AGUGAACGCUGGCGGUAGGCCUAACACAUGCAAGUCGAACGGCAGCACAGUAAGAGCUUGCUCUUACGGGUGGCGAGUGGCGGACGGGUGAGGAAUACAUCGGAAUCUACUUUUUCGUGGGUGAUAACGUAGGGAAACUUACGCUAAUACCGCAUACGACCUACGGGUGAAAUCAGGGGAUCUUCGGACCUUGCGCGAUUGAAUGAGCCGAUGUCGGAUUAGCUAGUUGGCGGGGUAAAGGCCCACCAAGGCGACGAUCCGUAGCUUGUCUGAGAGGAUGAUCAGCCACACUGGAACUGAGACACGGUCCAGACUCCUACGGGAGGCAGCAGUGGGGAAUAUUGGACAAUGGGGGCAAGCCUGAUCCAGCAAUACCGCGUGGGUGAAGAAGGCCUUCGGGUUGUAAAGCCCUUUUGUUGGGAAAGAAAAGCAGCAGGUUAAUACCCCGCUGUUCUGACGGUACCCAAAGAAUAAGCACCGGCUAACUUCGUG
rnacentral:rRNA from 1 species